GGAUGGACAUACCUCUGGUGUACCAGUUGUCGUGCCAACGGCAUAGCUGGGUAGCUAUGUGUGGACGGGAUAAGUGCUGAAAGCAUCUAAGCAUGAAGCCCCCCUCAAGAUGAGAUUUCCCAACUUCGGUUAUAAGAUCCCUCAAAGAUGAUGAGGUUAAUAGGUUCGAGGUGGAAGCAUGGUGACAUGUGGAGCUGACGAAUACUAAUCGAUCGAAGACUUAAUCAAAA
rnacentral:rRNA from 1 species